rnacentral:tRNA from 1 species
GGGGGUGUAACUCAGUGGUAGAGUGUGAGAUUGCAGAUCUUACAGUCACCGGUUCGAUCCCGGUCGCUCCCU